rnacentral:rRNA from 1 species
UACGGAGGAUCCGAGCGUUAUCCGGAUUUAUUGGGUUUAAAGGGAGCGUAGGUGGAUUGUUAAGUCAGUUGUGAAAGUUUGCGGCUCAACCGUAAAAUUGCAGUUGAAACUGGCAGUCUUGAGUACAGUAGAGGUGGGCGGAAUUCGUGGUGUAGCGGUGAAAUGCGUAGAUAUUUGGAAGAACACCGAUGGCGAAGGCAGCCCCCUGGGACGCAACUGACGCUCAUACACGAAAGCGUGGGGAGCAAACAGG